UACGUAGGGGGCAAGCGUUGUCCGGAUUUAUUGGGCGUAAAGAGCGUGUAGGCGGUUUGGUAGGUCCGUUGUGAAAACUCGAGGCUCAACCUCGAGACGCCGAUGGAAACCAUCAGACUAGAGUCCGGAAGAGGAGAGUGGAAUUCCUGGUGUAGCGGUGAAAUGCGCAGAUAUCAGGAGGAACACCAAUGGCGAAGGCAGCUCGCUGGGACGGUACUGACACUGAGACGCGAAAGCGUGGGGAGCAAACAGG
rnacentral:rRNA from 1 species